rnacentral:misc_RNA from 1 species
UUUUUCUAGACGUCUUCUGCGAGGGGUGCAUGAAAUUGUGGUGGCAGCGAGCUUACCGUGCGUGAUGCACCAAAGACCGAGGAGUCGGACAGAGCAGAGCAGGGGGGAGCACGGAAGAGAAGUUCAACGCAGAUCAUAGCGCAUUCGCCGUACUGAGUCUCGGAUCAAGCGCUCAUUUUUUUUCGCGCCCUUACGUCACUUCGUUUGCGGCGAAUUCCUGAUGAACACGCGUCAGGGCUCAGCCCGAAUACCUUACCGUGUUGGGCACGAUCGCCUCUGUGUAUGUCGUUUUUUUUUUUUUUGCUUGCUUCUGCUUGCUUCGUUCUUGCAUGUGCUGUUGUGCGAUCUCGCCCUCGCACCUCCCCCCCUCUUCUGUGUUGUUUUAUAAGAAUGUAGCCAUGCUUUCUAAGGAUGGGAUGAGAAGGAUCGUCCCGCCUAUGAUGUUGUCGUCCUUAUUCCCUUGUUGUGUAAGGGGGCAUGCACGCAUUCAUGUGUACGCAUACACAUAUACAUAGAUGCCUAUAUAUAAAGUUUUUUGUCACGUGUUUAUCACUUUCUUUUUCGUUUUUGCCCCUUCCUAUUGUGUGCAAACUAUACUCGAUGUCUCUUUAUGGUCGCUCCCUCACCUAUGCAACACGAAGUGCAUCUUCUGUAUGCUAUGCUGUGGAAUGCCCGUUCCCCUCUCCCUCCCUCUCCCCCUUCUCCACAGCAAAUCAUCCCAUACUUGCAGACACUCACCAAGCACGCAUAACGGCAGAUAGAAAUUUCGGUGCGAGUGUAUCUGUGUGCAGGUCUGAUGGCAGGCUCUUUGUUUGUCGGUGCUGGUGGGCUCUCAAAAGGAGCACAGAUACUUGGGCGCAGGCAUUUCACGACAGACUACCACGCAGGCACACCAUCAUCAAGUGACAAGAGGUGUCGACCGGGGAUACGCAACUAUCAAGAUCGCUUUCUCCAGUGUAUGCCUCCGUGAUUUGCAUGUUGUUCCUCUUCGACAUGUGGCUCACCUGCUGUUGUGUGAGACGGAACGGUCAAGGGGAAGGUAUUUGAUUGUUUGGUGAAGCGCAUACCUUCCCCUUUACCAUCAGAUCACGGGCAUGGCAAAAGGAUAGCAAUGUGCAGCAAGAGGAAACGAGACACAUCCGCUUUUCCCUUUUGGAUCUGAUGGCAGCGGAAAGGUGUGUGGCGACUGUUGGCGCGUUGUGCAACGCCGCUAAGACCGGCAGGAAGAACCCAUACAGAGACACAAGGAUUGGGCAAGCGCAGCGAAAUCGUCCACCUCAGCAAGUAGACGAGGUGUGGCUCUCCUUUCUUGCUCGCUUCCCCCUCCCUCCCCCUGUCGAGCCAGUGAGUAGUCUCUCCUCUCCCAGUGAGAUCCAUUUGCGGACAUCAUUCUCCAAUCCGCACUCUCCGCUAUCCUCUCUGGUGAUGCUUUCCUGCACGCCUGAUUUCAGUGAACCUCCCAUCCCUUGCGAUGGCCCCCUCCCAGCCGGCCCCUGCGCAUCUCUCCUUGUGUCGCACUACUCACAGUAUUGGUUUCUAUUUGCUUCUGUCGUGGCGAGGUCAUUGGCGUCGUUCUUCGAGAAGAGAUGGUGCGCCUCUGCGCCGCUUGCUUUGCUUUGCAUGUCUCUCGCUCUCUUUUUUUUUGUCCUGCCCUCGGGCCUGGCCUUUCAUGCAAACGUAAUCGCAGACGCACAUCAGCGCACCCCGCGAGGCUGCACAAGGCACGACCUUUUUUUCCUUGCUUGUAUGUCCUUCUUUGCUCUGUCCAUCCCCCCCCCCCCCCUCUCACGAUGCACGUGUUUGGGAAACAGGUGGCCGCCAUUGCAUACCACUUGCCAAGCCCCCCUCCCCGACACCAACACCACCGCCACCACCCUUUCACCUUAUUGUCGGGCUUUCUGGGAUACCCGUGCUUACGUUCAUCGCGCCCUGUUUGCCUCUUCUCUGGGGGUGUCGUUUCUCUCUCCUGCUGGGCCAGCGAGUAAGUCGGCGACCGGUCGCAGUGCACAGUAAAGAUCUGAUGUGGGCCAGUCGCCUCUCUGUACUCUCUCGCUCUGUGUCUUUGCGCCUUCCAG